rnacentral:rRNA from 1 species
AGAGUUUGAUCCUGGCUCAGGAUGAACGCUGGCGGCGUGCCUAAUACAUGCAAGUCGAGCGAACAGAUAAGGAGCUUGCUCCUUUGAAGUUAGCGGCGGACGGGUGAGUAACACGUGGGUAACCUACCUAUAAGACUGGGAUAACUUCGGGAAACCGGAGCUAAUACCGGAUAACAUUUAGAACCGCAUGGUUCUAAAGUGAAAGAUGGUUUUGCUAUCACUUAUAGAUGGACCCGCGCCGUAUUAGCUAGUUGGUAAGGUAACGGCUUACCAAGGCGACGAUACGUAGCCGACCUGAGAGGGUGAUCGGCCACACUGGAACUGAGACACGGUCCAGACUCCUACGGGAGGCAGCAGUAGGGAAUCUUCCGCAAUGGGCGAAAGCCUGACGGAGCAACGCCGCGUGAGUGAAGAAGUAUUUCGGUACGUAAAGCUCUAUCAGCAGGAAAGAAAAUGACGGUACCUGACUAAGAAGCCCCGGCUAACUACGUG